GUCUGGUUUGGUUGUUAAUUGUGAUCGAGUUUUUAAGGUAGAAUUUCAAUAUAAGUUUGAGAAAGUUGUUAUUGGUCUUCUCCGCAGACUCUUGUUCUUGGAUACAAACAAGCUUGUUCAGCAUUUGCAACUCUUGAAGAGUAGGAGAGAUUGGUGGUUCAAAUCAGACGGAGGAGGGUACAAGAUCGCAAGAUUUUUACAAUCAGGUACAUGUUUCGUACUCGGAACCUUGCCAUAGCAACAUUAGGCCUGGUGUUUAGGGGCAACUCAAUUAGAAAUAUAGAAAUGCCUGUGUCAUUGGGAUUUACAGUUGGAUUGCGAGAGUUGAGCGUUUCUUUAGAAUGGGUGGUUAUAAUGAUGAAGAUUAGAGGACCAAGCCAACGUUUCGUUUGGGAAAAAGAUUCAAUGCAAGAAUCAGACUUAGCUAAGAAGGAGAAGGAAUUGAUCCAGACAGGUUCCGGUCAGCGAAAAGCAUUGAUUUUUCAAGAUAAAAAUCAGGAAUACAUCGGUAGUUUCAGAGAAUAGUCGAUUCAUUUCACAUAAUGAGGCCAGCGAUGCGACUGAAGUGAUUUGAGAAGCAGACUCUCAUAUUGGAGAGUUGUGAAACAGAAUCAAUUGAUACCUUGGAAAUGACUGAUACGAUUAAACCAUCAGAGGAAACGUAUGCAGUUCCAAGUCAAGAGAAUCAAAUACAAGUUGUUGAUGUCUUAGAAGUAGCUGAUUAUGAUGAGCAGUCAACAUGUGUAAAGGCCAAUUUUUUUGCAUCUCACCGGCUCGAUAAAAUGCUUAUUAGUGAGCAUGUUUUGCGACAGAAGAGACAACAACAAAAUGUUCCAAAUCCUGGAAAUUCAUGUUCAAAGACACGCUAGAGACAAGAUUUUUGAUUGAGGAACAAUUAUCAUAUUGGGAAGAGACAAUCAAACAUGAUCCUACAAGCGACCAAAUUUUGGAAGGGUAUAUUGCAAAGCUGUGGAUAUCAACUUGUGGUAAAUUUCAGUUUUGUAGCCAUCAUGUGCGAAGCCUGUUUUCAUUCAAAUUGUGCAAGCUUUAUUAUUUCUCUGUGUGGCACUGUUGGAGAACUAAGACACUACCAACACUUGGACUCUGGCAACAAACGGAUGCAGUAACGAAUUUGUGGUGGUUGCUCCGAAAUGGAAGAGAGUUGCAGGUUUUCAUUGUCACGGAUAUGAUGAAGAUUUUUGAGAAGGCAUACAGUGUGGAUGCUUAUGCUAUGUCCUAUGUUUCACUGAAAAGUGACAAGUUGUAUGGGGAGGAGAAUUCAAUUGUAGAUGAUAUCACAAGUUAAAUUGAGUGUAAAUUCAAGUAUAAACAAAGAAAUGUGGGAAGGGAUCAGCAGAGCCUCAAAUUUUUGCUGAGACAAUGGGAAGUAGCUGUGGAUUUUCGGUGGUGGUUGGCAUGGUUAUUUGGUUGGCAUUGGUUAGAGUUUCCUCCUGACCCAGGAAUCUAUACGAUGUUUAACAUGGAGAUUAUACAUUCAGGUCAUAUCACUGUAUACUUGAUCAAGUUGUGUGUACUUAAGCUGGAUAGACUGCACACAAAACAGAGGCGAAAAUCCUUGAAGUCCGUACAAGGAAGUGUCAGCCACUCUUUUAUACUGGUUGUUGCACUGCACUGGAGUUUGCAGCUCUAUUUGGAGACAACACGAGACCAUGGACAACGUUUGGGUUCCUGUCAAUGGAGUUGGUACAACAGCUCAACUCUCUCAGCUUGAGGAAAAGCUGUCUUCGAAAGGGGGAGUAUUGAUAAGUAUGUGGGAGCAAAGACUGUCACGUGAGAAGAAAGCUGGUUUAGAAGAAGAGCCGGUUUAGUUUGGUUUAGACCUUUUGUAUAUCAACUGUAGUAUCUGUUUACGGGAGAUUAUGCAUUUGUUGAUGUUUGUUCAGUGACGUGUGUCGCUAGAUUGAGAGAGUGAUGAUUCAACAGUAUGUGUUGGAGCUCUUCUCGUUAACAAUUGUAUCGAUACUUGAGUGUUAAUAAAGAUUACGUGAUUCAUUCUUAACAAAACAUGUAGGAUGCUGCUGAAGAGUUUGUGCCACACCUGAAAAUUCAAGAGUUAGCUAGUGCAGCUCUUGAAGAGGUACCUAUUGAAUCUUCUAUCUGAUGUGCGCUUUGGCAAAGUAUCAGGUUAGUAAAUUCUCUUAAUGUUAACUUCUUUGCUAGUCUAAAUCUCUGUGGUGGCUAUUAUCUUUUCUUCAAACCACUGUUGAAUCUGUUGCACGAAACUCCAUUAAGAGAUGAUCUAGGCUAAUAGCUAUCGUGUACAUUCUGACACUUACCAUAUUAAAAAAACCAGUUAUGAUUUCUUACGUAA